rnacentral:rRNA from 1 species
AUUGAACGCUGGCGGCAGGCCUAACACAUGCAAGUCGAACGAGUGGCGGACGGGUGAGUAAUGUCUGGGAAACUGCCUGAUGGAGGGGGAUAACUACUGGAAACGGUAGCUAAUACCGCAUACCCUCAGAUGUGCCCAGAUGUGAUUAGCUCGUCGGUGGGGUAACGGCUCACCUAGGCGACGAUCCCUAGCUGGUCUGAGAGGAUGACCAGCCACACUGGAACUGAGACACGGUCCAGACGCCUACGGGAGGCAGAUGUGGGGAAUAUUGCACAAUGGGCGCAAGCCUGAUGCAGCCAUGGCGUGUGUAUGAAGAAGUCCUGCGGGUUGUAAAGUACUUUCAGCGGGGAGGCGUUACCCGCAGAAGAAGCACCGGCUAACUCCGUGCCAGCAGCCGCGGUAAUAC